rnacentral:rRNA from 1 species
GGGACGAAGCGAGGGUGACGGUACCUGCAGAAGAAGCACCGGCCAACUACGUGCCAGCAGCCGCGGUAAUACGUAGGGUGCAAGCGUUGUCCGGAAUUAUUGGGCGUAAAGAGCUCGUAGGCGGUUUGUCGCGUCGGCUGUGAAAACCUGAGGCUCAACCUCAGGCCUGCAGUCGAUACGGGCAGACUUGAGUGUUGCAGGGGAGACUGGAAUUCCUGGUGUAGCGGUGAAAUGCGCAGAUAUCAAGAGGAACACCGGUGGCGAAGGCGGGUCUCUGGGCAACAACUGACGCUGAGGAGCGAAAGCGUGGGGAGCGAACAGGAUUAGAUACCCUGGUAGUCCACGCCGUAAACGUUGGGCGCUAGGUGUGGGGCUCAUUCCACGAGUUCCGUGCCGCAGCUAACGCAUUAAGCGCCCCGCCUGGGGAGUACGGCCGCAAGGCUAAAACUCAAAGGAAUUGACGGGGGCCCGCACAAGCGGCGGAGCAUGUUGCUUAAUUCGAUGCAACGCGAAGAACCUUACCUAGGCUUGACAUGCACGGAAAUCUCGCAGAGAUGCGGGGUCCGUAAGGGCCGUGCACAGGUGGUGCAUGGUUGUCGUCAGCUCGUGUCGUGAGAUGU